CUUCCGGCCAUCGAGAUUGUAUGGUCUCGAUGACCGGAAGGAAUCCCUUCCGGUCAUCGAGACUGUAUGGUCUCGAUGACCGGAAG
rnacentral:miRNA from 1 species